ACGUUAAACGUUCAAUUUCGCGGAUGGACUAUUGCGUCGUCUUGAAAUGAGACACAAAACACCUACGCUUUUGGGACGCUCUCAAAACAGCUGCUUUUUUCGUUACAUUCGGACUGGUCGAAAACUUGAUUACGUGCUCUCGCUCUCAUUCCGAUUCAUUCGUAUAUUAUAAUAUCGCUUUUAAUCUCUUGUCUCAAUUACUCCACUACGGUGAAUUGUGAUAAAUACGACAUCUAAAUCUACGUGGAUUUUAAUUCCGCACCAGUGGCCCAGCUUAACCCUCUGACAAGUUCAACAACGGACAGUUCAAUUCAAUCUUCGACAAAAUCGCAUGUUUCAAACGAGAUAUCUGUGAAUAUGUGGAUUAUUAAUAGGGUUUUGAAGCUAUGCAUAGCUUUCUGGAAGAUUUCAUAACAAGACUGAUGAUUAGAUCUUCUGUUCUCAAGAAUCGAAAAAACUUAUAGUCAAGUUUGCAAGACUGUAUGACAUUCGAAACAAACCUAUGACCUAUGACGAAAAUACGACACGUGUAUAAACGAAGAAUUUGAAAAUCUAAGGUGACGUCGCGAUUACUCGCUCGAGAAGCUUUUGCCAGAAUGCUGUUCUAUUUUACGCCUGUCUAUUUUAAAGGAUCGAUAAGGGGUUGGUGGAAAGAAAGCUAUCCGUUUUUAUCGGAUUCAUCUAAUACAUGUGCACGCUGCGAGCGACGAGAUCGGAAUGGCAAAUCAGAAAGCACUGAAUGACAAAUGGUGAAUGGCAAAUCAGAAAGCACUGAGUACAAGAGGCAAGUUGGCCUCGUCACUCUUCUUACUUGUUGGGCCGUUUUCCAGCAUUCGCCUAUCUCGCCUUUCAUCACUUGUCGUAUCACGCUCAAUUAUUUUCCUAUCUUCUUUAAUUAAUAACUCAAACAUUUAUGUGGUUAUUUGCAAAAUGUUAAUGAACUUUUCAUAUUGACUUAAUCUAUAAAUAUAUGGCAGUUAUCGUGCCUAGCGACAAACAACUUAUAUAUGCAGGAAAUAUGUCGUUAUAUGAAUAAGAAAUAAACGACAAAAUGAAAUUAUUUCCACGAUGGUGCAAAAUAUUUCGUGGAUAAAUUAAUAAGAUGGAAAUUUAUUUGUGUAAAAUAAGUAUUAAUUACUUUUAAAAUGUAAACUUUAUAUAGUUGUCAGCAUUAUUAAUUGGCCACAUAGAUGUAUGAAAUUUACUAAAAUGAGUUGACACAAACUGUGAAGAAAAAUUAAGAACA